GACGUAGGGCGCGAGCGUUGUCCGGAUUUAUUGGGCGUAAAGAGCUCGUAGGUGGCUUGUCGCGUCUGUCGUGAAAGCCCGGGGCUUAACUCCGGGUCUGCGGUGGAUACGGGCAGGCUAGAGGCAGGUAGGGGAGAAUGGAAUUCCCGGUGUAGCGGUGAAAUGCGCAGAUAUCAGGAGGAACACCAACGGCGAAGGCAGCACUCUGGGCCGGUACUGACGCUGAGGAGCGAAAGCGUGGGGAGCGAACAGG
rnacentral:rRNA from 1 species